rnacentral:rRNA from 1 species
GACGAACGCUGGCGGCGUGCCUAAUACAUGCAAGUAGAACGCUGAAGGAGGAGCUUGCUCUUCUGGAUGAGUUGCGAACGGGUGAGUAACGCGUAGGUAACCUGCCUGGUAGCGGGGGAUAACUAUUGGAAACGAUAGCUAAUACCGCAUAACAGUAGAUGUUGCAUGACAUUUGCUUAAAAGGUGCAAUUGCACCACUACCAGAUGGACCUGCGUUGUAUUAGCUAGUUGGUGGGGUAACGGCUCACCAAGGCGACGAUACAUAGCCGACCUGAGAGGGUGAACGGCCACACUGGGACUGAGACACGGCCCAGACUCCUACGGGAGGCAGCAGUAGGGAAACUUCGGCAAUGGACGGAAGUCUGACCGAGGAACGCCGCGUGAGUGAAGAAGGGUUUCGGAUCGGAAAGCUCUGUUGUAAGAGAAGAACGAGUGUGAGAGUGGAAAGUUCACACUGUGACGGUAUCUUACCAGAAAGGGACGGCUAACUACGUG